rnacentral:snRNA from 1 species
AUCGCUUCUCGGCCUUUUGGCUAAGAUCAAGUGUAGUAUCUGUUCUUAUCUGUUUUUUUUUUUUUAAUAAGUGAUAUCAAAUCGAGAAUCUCCAAACUUUU